ensembl:lncRNA
GGACUGAUAGGGAUAACUGGUUUGCUGGGAGAGAGGAUGACGAGAAAGACUUCAGAGCUGCAAAGCUGACCAGAAACAUGUUGACAUCAGUGGCAAACUUGAAAGCAGGAAAAGCAAGCAGAGCUAAACCAAGUGAGAAGCAGCGGAGAGAUCAUGCUGUCCAGGUCAUUAUUAAAUGGACGUCAUUACUCCAAUUAUAUUCGGUGCUGCAGCUGUUAUGGAUACUGACAUAGGUAACGUAGCAGCUGUUAAUCACAUGUUUUGAAACUCGUGACUUCUUGUGUUCCCUGACGUUAGGUUUCCCAGUGGUGGCUCAGUUCAUAUACAUGUAGAAUACAAUAACUUAUGAAUGCCC